rnacentral:tRNA from 1 species
AGCUGGGUGGAGCAGUCUGGAAGCUCGGGUGGCUCAUAACCACCAGGUCGCGGGUUCGAAUCCCGCCCCAGCAA